CGGCGCUAAAGACGUUCUUAGCGCGCGGGAGCUGAAUUUCGGCUUAAGUAGGCCUAGUGUUUUUUUGGGGUCUAGUUUUCCAAUCAAAGAUUACAGAAUGGAGAGAAAUAUAUUUAUAGAAAUCAAAUCAAGAAAUUAGUUCGAGUCCUAUAGGCUGCCUCCUGCGAAAAGCAAACUACGUGGGGAAUAUGAGUACCAUCCAUAAUGCAGCAUUAUGCAAAAUCCAAUUUCCUUGCAUUGGCCUACUUAUUUGCAUAUUGAAAGGAGGAUGCCUUCGUUUGGCAGUCAGGAUUUGCGAUGUAGGCACACAACAUGUGUACAAGGGAUUGACAAUAGUUGCGGAAUGGUGUUCUAGACAACAGUAUUUGGAACUUUUUUUUAUUGAGGAUGCAGUUGACAAUGACUUGGCACAAUUUGAUUGGCUGAAUCUUUGACAGCCAUCUUGAAGUAUGGAUACACAACUCGCAUUUUUGGAACAUCAAAUUUAUGGGAGUUAAUGCUAUAGUGUAAGUUAAGAUAGGAUAAACUUUAUUGUCAUAAUCAUAAGGUGACAUGACAUUUGUUUUCUUGAUGUGUUCAAAUGGUGAACAUAUACAAUUCUAAUAAAUCAUUGGAAAGUUAAGAAUAAAAAGUCACUAGUACUUACAACAACUAUGAUAGAAUGCAACUGAGUAAUGAUUAGAAAUUAUGCUUUUUGAAAUACGAAUAAUUUAUAUUAGUAAAACCUCAACCUAAUUUCAAGUUUAUAGAUAUAUUUAUGUCAGCAAACUUCGAAAGGUCACUUAUAGUGUACUACUUUUUUUAUCAUUCUCUGCAUCAUGUGUCAAGAUCUCCUCAGACAUAUAUUUAAAUUGGAAGCGAAUAUAUUUGCCAAAUUUAAUGUUUUUAUGUUGCCUUGGGGUAUGCAUUAGUGGCAGUCCCUCUGGACCCAAAUCAUCUUUUCACUUAAGCCUCUAUGUACUCAUAUUGCUUUUCUUGGUAAACUUUCUCCCCAAAAAAGCCUGAGGUAAUUUUGGCACUAAAACCUGAAGGAGUGGGCACCUGUGUUGAAUGCUAAAUUGAAUUUAUCCAGAACAAUUUGAAAUCUAUCGAAGAUGAUUUAGCUUCAGCGUAAAUUGAAAACCGUAAGUUUGCAAAUUCUAUGUAUUUUAUCUGUCCAAUUGCAAACCAGGCGCAUGAAUUGAUUUUCUGUAAAUGUCAUUAUUAUAUUUCACCUUGUGUGUGUAGACAUUUAAGAUGUUUGUUCAAUUUUCAGAAUGAUAUUUGACCCUUUGUAUAGCAGUAGUUAAUACUUUUAAAAUCAUGCAAGGUAUCAAUCCCCCCUUCAUCGGAUGGCUUGUGUUCAAUUCCAAAUCAAAUUAGAUAAAAGCUUGUCAUUCAUCACUAUCAAUAAUAUUUUUAUUAGACCCAACAGAAUAUGUUUAAUCAGAUUUUAUAUCUGGUAGUGUAUGCUCCUUUCAGAGAUAACAAAUGUCUUUUUAUAUCUGUUGGAGAAGUUGGACAAUGCUCUUACUUGAUAAGCUAUGUCCAGAUUAUCAAAUUUUCUUUGACAAAAAAAUUUUGUAUGCCCAUAUAUAGCCAUUAGGUGCCUAUAUUUGCAUCAUUUUAGGCAUGUCACAUGUUUUGUCAAAUAAAAUUGAUAGUCUGGGCAGGACUUUUAAAUGUAUGUACUUUGUUUGACUGACAUAUAAAUCUGAAAAGAUAUCUCGAUUGGUUUGGUAGGUGGAAUUGUUGCUACAAUUGAAUUAAUCUAUUGCUGUGGAGAUCUGGAAUGGAAUUGCUAAUGCAUGGGAUAUUCACUUGAAAAUACUGUGGUGAAUGAAUUUUAUUGUAAAUUGAUUUAUUGUGGUUUAGUUUUAAGAUCGUCACCUUUCAAUAGAGAUUCCUGGGUUCCAAUCCUCCCAGUUCCAGAAUAUUUUUACUUACAACAAAAACUCUGUCUGAGCUCCAUAAAGUUUUGUUUUAGAAAUGUCAUAGAUUUGAUUUUUUGUGUUAUUUUUUUCUGGUGUGAAUCAUUGUUCUAUGACGAUGAGAAUGACAUGAAAUGUAAUUAUUUUUAAUGAACUUUGUGGUGUAAAGAAUGAUGUUGAUAGUGUUACUGUAUGACAUAUUCUCAAAUAUGUAUAUCUACUUAUUAUUUCUGUCAUAAUAGUUUUUUAUUAUUAUGAUGAUAAUUUUAAAAUAUUAUGUCAUCCAUGUUGUGGAAUUUUUCCGACAAGAGGCAUUCCCUGCUUAUCAUAUCAUAUAUCAUUUAUUUCACCAGUCAAAACAAUAAAAAUUGUAUGGCAGACUGGCCGGAUGGCCCAAAAACAACGCAAAUUUACUGUCACAAGGGCUGUCCUGGCAGCAAAUGCAGUACAAUAAUACAUAAAACAUACAAGUAUAAAAAUAUGUAACUAUAUAUAAACCAUCUCUGUUAAACAUUUCAUUUAAAAUGUAAAAGUUACAAAAGCUAAGAACGAUUUACAGCGCAUAAAUACAUUAAAAUACUUUAUAAAAUUAAUUAGCAAUAAAAUUGCAAAAAGGGAAAUACAAGCAAAAGGAUCAUUACAAAAGGAUAAAAUUAAGUUUUAAAAUGAAAUUUAAGGUUAUUUAAAUUCAUAGAGCGUAACACUCUUAAUAACCUCCUUCAUAGAGACUGCGUGUCACUAUAACCUGUAUUUCAUAGGUAGAAUAAUUUGAUGAAAUAUGUACAUGGACACAAAUAUCUGCAUGGUUCACCACAGUAGUUACCACCAAUUUAAUGAACUGUACUAUAUAGUACCAUUAAGUACAGUGUAACUCUAACAGUGUUUUUUUACUAAGAAUAGUACAAUGUAACUGGGAUGAAACAUGUUACAGUAAUUUCUGCUAAGCUAUAUAAUGUCCAGGAUCAAUUUAAUUAUAAUUGACAAAUAAUAAAUGCAUUAUUACAAUCAUAAUAGGAUAGAAUGGUAGCAACUGUCAUAUAAUUUCUAAUAUACUUAUUAGUCAUUAGAAUCUACAUCUGAUUAUUCAGCCUCUGACCUGUA